UGAUUAUCCUCUGCAAUUUAAAUGUAUAGUCAAUGUCGAAUGACGUGUCUCCGUCUAAUUGGUUAAAAUUGCCACGUCAGCGUACAAACGUUGUGAGUGUUCUCACCCAAUAAUUUCUCUUUCCAUGCACCAUAAAACCCAAUCGCUGUCCGUAUAUCCUCCACCGGUUUCAAAUUGCUUCUCUGCAUUUUCAUUUCAAUGGCUGCAAGGAGGAGUAUCGUGUCGGAAUUGGAAUCGGUUCAGUCACUGGAACUCAGGUGAUGACCUCCGACAAGAUCCAGUCUUAAAAUCCAUUACUCAAGAGUUCAGAAUUUAGCCAGAAUCAGCAAAAUACUCGAUCGGUAGCUCAUGAGAACUGCUGUUUUGUUUUCGUAUAAACUUGGGGGAGUUUGCUACUCGUCUUCUUCGUGCUGCAACAUUUUUGUAGUUAUGGCGAAGAAUAAGAAGUCCAAGUCUUCUUCUUCUGAGGUUUGUCUCUCUCUCUCUCUCUCUCUUCGGUUUCGUUUGUCCUUGUUUCCUCUCUGAUAUAUUGUCGGGUAAAAUGAUGCGUUAGCUUCAAUUUUAUGGAUAAUAUAUCUGAUGUUUUUUAUAAUUGCUUCACGCAACGUACUGGAAUUCUCUUCGAGUUCUUAAACCAAUUUCCAAAAGGACGAAAAACAAUCAUAUGGCACCUAGUUCAGGGUUACAAGCUUUGUAAUGAACACAAUUCAAUAUUUUCCUACUUUAAAGAUGCAAAAAUCUGUGCAUAAUCUGUGUGGCAUUUGUAGAAAUGUGAGUAUUUCCCACUUGUCAAUUGCAAGAUGUUGCUCUGGCCUACUCUAUAGUCUCGACUGAAGUUGUCAACUGUUGUCUCGUUCUUGAAGUGCCUGUUUCAUGGGAAGACUGGAUACUGGUUAAAUUGGUUACACUUGCAGAAUGCUGGUAGAAUACUAGUUAUUAGGUGAUUUGGUGUAGGACAAAAAAAGUGUCAACACAAAACUUUGAGACAAUUUUUUUAAGAACCAAAAUUGAAGAUCUCGGAUUUAAUAGUUAAAUCAAUAUAUCAAUAUUUGUAUAAUCAUCAUAUGAAUAGUCUACUAAAUAAGUAAGAUGGAGUAUUCUGUUUUUAUAUGCCAACAUCAAAAUAGGAGUUCUUCUCUAUGUAGAAAUUCUAUGAAGUAGGAGAAUAAAAAAAUUAAUUGGAAUAUUCUGUAAUAGAGGAUAACUAAAAAAGAUUCAAACUGAAUAAGAAAUAAGAAACUUAUACCAUUAAUAAAUUUAUAGAUACUAGUUCCUAAAUAAGCUAAAUACCUUAAUAAUACUAAAUAGUACAAUUAGAUAAGCAUAUCUCAUUAUUAAAACGUGUCCUUUUAGGAUCUUAUUACUCUGCAUCACAACCAAUCACACUACUAGUUUUGAAGCCUUACAUAGAUAUGCUCCUCUUGUCCAUAUUUCAUACGUUGCAGGAGAUUCAAAGAUAGGUUGCCUGGCUAUUUACAUGGUAGAUAAGAAGGAAAAGUAAGGAUGCUUAAACAUCACCAACCCGGGUACAGCAUUGAAUAGAGCAAUUGGCCUUUGGACAUAACAUAAAGUGACUUUUAAGCAUAGGACAUGCUGUCUAUAUCCAGCUGCAACCAUACUGCCAAUAGAUAGUGGCACAAUGCAACAACAAAAAGCUANNN
rnacentral:lncRNA from 1 species